rnacentral:tRNA from 1 species
GCCGGGGUGGCGGAAUGGCAGACGCUCGCGUCUCAAAAACGCGUGGGGGUAACCCCGUGAGGGUUCGAGUCCCUCUCUCGGCA